GACGAACGCUGGCGGCGUGCUUAACACAUGCAAGUCGAACGGUGAAGCGCCUUCCUUUUUGGUGAGUGUGGAUGAGUGGCGAACGGGUGAGUAACACGUGAGUAACCUGCCCCCUUCUUCUGGAUAACCGCAUGAAAGUGUGGCUAAUACGGGAUAUUCUGGGUCUGUCGCAUGAUGGGUCUGGGAAAGAUAUUGUUUCGGUGGGGGAUGGGCUCGCGGCCUAUCAGCUUGUUGGUGGGGUGAUGGCCUACCAAGGCGGUGACGGGUAGCCGGCCUGAGAGGGUGGACGGUCACACUGGGACUGAGACACGGCCCAGACUCCUACGGGAGGCAGCAGUGGGGAAUAUUGCACAAUGGGCGCAAGCCUGAUGCAGCGACGCCGCGUGAGGGAUGGAGGCCUUCGGGUUGUGAACCUCUUUCGCCAGUGAAGCAGGCCUGCCUCGUUUGUGGGUGGGUUGACGGUAGCUGGAUAAGAAGCGCCGGCUAACUACGUG
rnacentral:rRNA from 1 species